AAUAGCAUAUAUAACUUAAGGAUUUGGUGCUUUUCAAUAAAUGAAUAUGCACCUUCAUAAACAAAAAACCUUUGGGCAUUUUUAGUGAAUUAGAAAUUAACAUAAAUAUCUGGCAUAAAAAGAUAACUCAACACAACAUACAUGAUGUUAUACGCAGAAUGAGUUGGCAACCAAGGCUAACAAAGCAGGUGGCAAACUUGAAUUUUUACACUUAGCCAGUGCUAUAACUUUGAAUCAAGUAGUAAACUGAGAAUGGUAGAUAACCGUUGAUAGUUUGUCUAAGAUGCUAGUUUGCUUAUACUAAAGUUGGGGCCUUAUGUCCAACUUAAGGGGUUUUGCUUCUUUACUUGUACAUAUAUUUUCCCUGAUAAUAAAACUUUCUUAAUUACCAAAAAAGAAACAAUAACUCAACCUUAGGCCUAAUGGCUUCCUUACUCAAAAUUUCAGUUUACUCUAGAA
rnacentral:lncRNA from 1 species